GCGAUAAUUGGUAGAUGACUUUCGGAGGCCAUAGGAACCCUACAUUUGGAUCUUGUGAAGUAAGGAUGGGAAGCCAGAUUACCAACAAAAACCAACCACCUUAACAGAACUUGGCUAAUUUGCACACCCAACAACCUUGUUAGUUUUGAGACGCUUAACAGAUAGGAAAUCGCAUGUUGGGAUGCAAUGCACCUAAACAGUUAAACACUUCUACCAUGUGUUUGAACGGUUGCGUGUUUUAUCCCGACCUUUAAAUGUCCCUUUCCAUUCUAUACCUCUAUCAUUUCCAUUUCUGGCUCUUUUUUUUUUUAAUAUCUUGAUUUCUUUUUCUUUUUCUUUUUGUUGUUUUUCGUACUUUGUUUGUCACUAUUAUUUUUUGUCACUCUUUUCUUUCUUUUUCACUCAAUUUUUCUUUUUUUCACUCAAUUUAUUUAAUGGCAUUGAUCGAAUCCAAUAGGGAUUGCCUACGUAUCAUGACGCUGCAUGAAUCAGAGCAUUACGUAGUUUAGGAAAAUCAAGAAAGGAGUAAAUAAACUCAUUCUUUUUUUUUUUACUUUUUUAUAACACUCAGACCAUGAAAUCGUUUAGAAAAAGAAUAUAUAUUUUUACAAUUCGUUUUUUUUUCUUUUUGGAAUUUUCGAAAGAAAGGCUUUUAAAGAGGAAAGAAAAUAUUUUUGAAUUUUUGAUGUUGAUUCUUUUUGAAAUUUUUGAAAGAAAGACUUCUAAAGAAGAAAGAAAAAAAAAUGGAUUUUUGAUUUUUUUUUUUUUUUAAAUUAGGAAAAAGACUUCUAAAAAAAGGUAGAAAAUUAUUUUUUGAAUUUUAAUUUGAUUUGUUUUCUUUUUUUUAAUGAACGACUUCUGCAAAGAAAAUAUUUUUGGGUUUAAAGUUUUUACUUUUUUUUUAUUUGUUUGGGAUUUUCUAAGAAAAGACUCCUAAAGAAAGAACUAAAGGAAAAUAAAUUUUGGAUUUUUUAAAAAUUGGGGGUCGGAACAGAUGAGAUUUGCCUACCUAUCUCACACCCGGUGAGAAUCAGACUCGCGUAGGUCGGUCAGUGUUGACACAACAGGAAAAAACAUGAAUAUUAAAAAUAUUGGCUUAUUUUGAAAUGACUUUUCUUUUUUUCUCUUCUUCUUUUUUUUCAAAACUUCGGCAGAGUUUAGGAAUUUUUCAAAUACCUGAAUUUUUCAGGUACCGGAUAAAUUCUCUCUCUCUCUUGCCUCACUCUUGGUUUUUUCUUGGCUUUCUUUCCCUAUUCUAGAAACCGGUCAACAUGCAAGCCGAAGCAAAUAUAUGCACAAGUAGCACGUAAAAAUGCAUCGGGGUGGUCUUUUAUAUUGGGUACAUCUGUCCUAGAUGGACUCAACCCCUGUGUUAAGUCCCCAAAGUCAAAUGCACGUGAUGCAAACAAACGUUCCUACCAGAGAUCCGUCAUGAGGCUAUAUUAUUCUAGGUUUAAAUUCUGGGAUGUGUUGUUCUAGACCUGGCUUACCCGAGCGGACAACUCGAGCCGGGGGGAGGGGGCAGCGUACCGGGAAUACAGAAGCUUCACCGGCUUUGCAACUUGUCCGAUCCUCAUUUUGAAAUUAAGGGAAUGACUCUAACAGAAAAGAAGUCACGUGAGGCGCACGCUUCCCAGACGAUUUAGAAGACUCAGAGAGAAGAAGAAGGUUGUCGUAACAGUUUUAUAUACAGCUCACAGAAUAUCAAAGCGGUAAAUGAGUAGCAAUUAGCACAUUAAGCCCAAACAUGUAAUAUCAGACAAUCACAAGAAAGCCAAGCAUAACAAUUAUUCUAAGCUCGAAUUCUGAACCCUGAACUAGAGAUUUUGGGUUUAAAUCCCCAGCAAAGUCGCCAGAGUUGUCACACCUCAUUUUUUCUGAGGGAUAGGGAGUUUUUUCAAUUAAAGUGACAUUAUCCGAAAUGAGAUUAUUUAUUUAAUCAGAGUCGUCACUUGGAAUAAUUAUUAUGGUGUCCCAAGUCACCGGUUUAUUUUAAAAUCCCAAAUCGAGGAAAUUGACUCUAUUUUAUGGUUCGCGAGCACAGAAGAUCGGAUAAGGAAUUCUGUUAACCCGGGAGAAAGUGUGAGGCACUCCCGAGAUCUGUGAUUUUAGCACGAUCGCUUAACAAUUAAUACUUGGCCUAAUUAUCUGAUUUAUUAUAUGUUUUAAACUUAUUGUGCAUCUUUUAUCCACCGCUUUUAAUUAAGAUAUUUAUACGCUUUUAGUGUUUAUGGAGUUUAGUUGAACAAGUUACGAUGUCGUACACUUGUCGUUUUUGUACAUAUUGCAAAUCGCACCACGUGAAAUGACCCGCGAUUUACAACAUGUUUAUUUUAAUUGUUUGAAGUUGUGGUCAAGUCGCGUGAAACGCGCACGUUAGUUGGGAUUUACAUAUCAUGACCAUGUCACGGGAACCGUACCCAUGACCACGAUGAUUUAUUAAUCGUGCCUAAGACAACUAUCGCGUCUAUAAUUGUGUUUUAACUACAUUUGAGAUAUAUUGAAAGAAGGAAUUAUGGAACAAUUGAAGAAAAUGAGUCGGCUUUUGUUCUUAUUAAGUUGGCCCGAUGAAAAAUAAAUUAUUUCGUACAUGGUCUACCCAAUAAACCCGAAGCCCACUAAAACAUAACUAAAUUGUAUUAGUCACACAAUCCAACUGGCCAUUAAUCUACUAUAACUAAUGUCUAAAUGUAAACCCAAAACAGAAGGUGAAUCAACAACAUUGAAACUUAUUUUUGAUAAAUAAACAAUUGAAAAUUGGUAAGUCAAGCAAUUCCAAUUAAAUACCAAAUGAAACAGUAGAGAAUAAUGUUAAAACCAUAGACAAGAUAGGAGCAUAUCACAAAUUUUACCAAUCAAGCACAAUAAUAGCAGCAAGUAAAUCAAAGAAAACCGAGCAAUCCAAACAAAUCUGCAAAUUUAUUGAAGAGCACGGUAUUGAAAAUACACUAAGAGAAGAAAAAGGACCUUUAUUGCUGCAUAUGCUCUAACAUUCACAAUGAAAGAGGAGCUCCCAAAUUACAAUCCUAAAACGAUCUGUAGAUCAGGACUUCGACGAACCCGGAAACUUCGAACGACACCUCACUUUAACGAUGAUUUCCGAUAGUAUGUUAGUGAUGUUUUGUGCUGUUGUUUCAUGGUGGUUUUGGGAUAUUUUUGGAGCUGGAAUUUGGGGAGUUUUGGGGCUAGAUUUCAGGAUGUAUUUUAGGGAAUUUCGGGCUGUUAUCGAGCUGCUUUUAGGGAGUAAUUUUAGCUGUGUUUUGGCUGAUUUUUGGUGAGUUUUGGGGCUGUUUUGAAGCUGGUUUUCAGCAUGGUUUUGGCUGGAAUUUCGCUGGUAUUUCAGCAAUGUUUUGGGGUAUUUUUGGUGGAAGCUUGGUGUGUUUUUUCAGGGAAGGAAAACAGAGGUGUUUGGAUGGUGUUGAGGCUGCUGAUUUGGUGGAGGAGACGGGGCUAUUUAGCAGAGCUUUUUGGGCUAAAAAUGGAAGAAAGAUGGUGAAGCUUUGAUGGUCGAUUUCGUAAAGAGGGAGGCUGCGCUAUGGUGCUUUCUUUUUUCACCCCUUCCUUUGUGAAGUGUGUGCGCGCUCUAUAUCUAAUGUGAGGAAAUGGAGUAAAGUGAGUGUGUGCAGUUUAAAAUGACAUGAGGGUGUUGGAGAAAAAGGGGUAGAGUGAGUGUGUGUUAGUAUAAAAUGUGUGUGACGAAUUUUGGGAAAAAGGGAUAAAGUAGCUAGUGUAAA
rnacentral:lncRNA from 1 species